rnacentral:rRNA from 1 species
AAGCAUAUCAAUAAGCGGAGGAAAAGAAACCAACAGGGAUUGCCUCAGUAACGGCGAGUGAAGCGGCAACAGCUCAAAUUUGAAAUCUGACCCCUUCGGGGCCCGAGUUGUAAUUUGUAGAGGAUGCUUCGGGUGCGGCGCCGGUCUAAGUUCCUUGGAACAGGACGUCAUAGAGGGUGAGAAUCCCGUAUGCGACCGGCGACCAACCCCAUGCGAAGCCCCUUCGACGAGUCGAGUUGUUUGGGAAUGCAGCUCAAAAUGGGUGGUAAAUUUCAUCUAAAGCUAAAUACCGGCCAGAGACCGAUAGCGCACAAGUAGAGUGAUCGAAAGAUGAAAAGCACUUUGGAAAGAGAGUCAAACAGUACGUGAAAUUGUUGAAAGGGAAGCGCUUGCAACCAGACCUGUCCGCGGGCGAUCAACCGUUAUUCUUAGCGGUGCACUCGUCCGCGAUCAGGCCAGCAUCGGUUCGGGCGGCGGGAUAAAGGCCCCGGGAAUGUAGCUCCCUCCGGGGAGUGUUAUAGCCCGGGGCGCAAUCCCGCCAGCCUGGACCGAGGACCGCGCUUCGGCUAGGAUGCUGGCAUAAUAGUUGUAAGCGACCCGUCUUGAAACACGGACCAAGGAGUCUAACAUCUAUGCGAGUGUUUGGGUGUCAAACCCAUGCGCGUAAUGAAAGUGAACGGAGGUGGGAACCCCGCAAGGGGCGCACCAUCGACCGAUCCAGAUGUCUUCGGAUGGAUUUGAGUACGAGCAUAGCUGUUGGGACCCGAAAGAUGGUGAACUAUGCCUGAAUAGGGUGAAGCCAGAGGAAACUCUGGUGGAGGCUCGCAGCGGUUCUGACGUGCAAAUCGAUCGUCAAAUUUGGGUAUAGGGGCGAAAGACUAAUCGAACCAUCUGAACCACGUCCUACUGGAUGGUUCGCGCGGGCCCUUCGGGGCUCGGCAGUCCCCUUCGCGGGGGCCACAUCGUCAGUCCGCGGGCAUGCCUUCGGGCUACCCGCGGCGGGCUCCUCACCGGAGCCCGCCCACAGACUAAACGGCGGUGGCCGCGGGGGUUUCUCGCGGUUGUGAGAUAGCCGAUUCGACCCCUAACGGGGCCGUGGUUAAGAGUAGCUGGUUCCUGCCGAAGUUUCCCUCAGGAUAGCAGUAACGUUUUCAGUUUUAUGAGGUAAAGCGAAUGAUUAGAGGCCUUGGGGUUGAAACAAC